ensembl:ncRNA lncRNA:CR45365 long non-coding RNA:CR45365
UUGUGCAGUGGCACACACGUACACCCCCGCACUAUGGAAAACUGUCAAAACAAAUAUGAGUCGCAACAUGUCAAUGCGAUGUCAAAGGUCUUAACCCCCAACCUGAUAUUCCAACCCCCGCCACACGCUAAUUGGUUAAUGUAAACAAGUAGCAAGUCGAUCGAACCCGAAAAGAAGAAGUGCGGCAGUGGGAAUGUUUCAAAUUUCAAGUGUUGACGCGCCGCACAAACAACAACCAUGGAAAAACAAACAGACGACAGGCGGCGACGCCGAUGACGACAACACACUGAACAAAUACUUCAAUUAAUAAACAGACACGCGUCCAUCGAUAAAUAAGUAUGUAUGCUCGCACAAUAUGUUACUUACAACAUCAGUCGACGAACCCGGGAAUCCGAGCCCAAGGGUCUCUCAUCUCUGCCAAGUCUUCCAACUUGGACUGCGGUGGUGUAACCAAACACCAAAUACCAAACACCGCACACCCAGGACUGCUCUACCGCAAAAACAGCCUGAUAAAAGCCUGCCAAGAGCCAGAGACAAGGACUCAGGACAUGUCGGCUGACGAGCACUUCUUGAAGGACCUUCAAGGGUGUCCGAGCCAUGUAAUGUUGGAUUAUGGUUGCACAUGCACGGCUAUUCUCAUAGCACGCACAUUUUAU